GUGACCUGCGGAAGGAUCAUUAUCGUACAAAAUGUGUGAGGCACGCAAGGGCUGUCGCUGACUUUUAACACAAAAGUCGUGCACGUCAGAGUGUGUCCUCUCACAUAAAAUCCAUCUCACCCUUUUGUGCACCACCGCGUGGGCACCCUUCAGGAUCAAACCGAUCCGGGAGGGGGCUUGCGUUUUCACACAAACCCCCCCUUUUAAAAGUGUAGAAUGACCCCAUUUUUGCGAUAACACGCAAUCAAUACAACUUUCAACAACGGAUCUCUUGGCUCUCGCAUCGAUGAAGAACGCAGCGAAAUGCGAUACGUAAUGUGAAUUGCAGAAUUCAGUGAAUCAUCGAAUCUUUGAACGCACCUUGCGCCCCUUGGUAUUCCGAGGGGCACACCCGUUUGAGUGUCGUGAAAAUCUCAACCUUCUCGGUUUCUUCUGGACACCGAAGGAGGCUUGGACUUUGGAGGCCUUUGCUGGUGUCUCUCUCUUCUGAAACCCAGCUCCUCUUAAAUGAAUUAGCGGGGUCCUCUUUGCUGAUCCUCGACGUGUGAUAAGAUGUUUCCAUGUCUUGGUUUCUGGCUCUGUUGCUCCUGGGACCCGCUCCUAACCGUCUCAACCUUGCAUCGAGACAAUGUUUGAGCGUGUCUCCCUUCUCGGGAAACGCUCUCAACCCCACGAACCCUUGACCUCAAAUCGGGUGAGACUACCCGCUGAACUUAAGCAUAUCAAUAAGCGGANGAAAAGAACUAACANGGAUUCCCCUAGUAACUGC
rnacentral:rRNA from 1 species